UAGUCUAUUUUAAUGAACAGAAAGCAUGGGCUGAUGAAGUAGAAGAAUGGGAGAACUGCAGAAACGACGACGUAUCAUGCCCAGCUAUAUAUGCUUCUGAAAGUGCAGAAGAUGCCUGUGCAUGGGCAUAUGAAGGGGCCCCUGAAGGUUCAGUACUGGAUGAUGAAUACUUCUUUUCUCGUUUUCCGAUAGUCAAUUUGCGGUUAGCUCAAGGAGGAGUUCGAUUGGCUGCAACUCUUAAUCGUAUUUUUGACACAGUAUCUCUAAUGUCAAUGUAAUUUAUUGAAGGUUAGAAAUAGAUCAACAAUUUCCAUGUUAUAAUAGAAUAAACCGUAAAAGCUAAUUUGUUCAACUAGUUUGUGUGUUUUAAGA